AACGCAUAUGGCGCCCCGCGGAGCGAUCCGGGGGGCAUGCCUGUCUGAGAAUCGUCCACGCUCCACCUUGGGCCUUCACCAGUGAUGCCCGGAAUGCGCGCCGCCGGCCGUGUCACGAGAGUCCGCUCGGCCGGCGACCCCAACCGUGAUCUCAGAUCAGGCAGGACUACCCGCCGAACUUAA
rnacentral:misc_RNA from 1 species